UACGGAGGGAGCUAGCGUUGUUCGGAAUUACUGGGCGUAAAGCGCACGUAGGCGGCUUUGUAAGUUAGAGGUGAAAGCCCGGGGCUCAACCCCGGAAUUGCCUUUAAGACUGCAUCGCUUGAAUCCGGGAGGGGUGAGUGGAAUUCCGAGUGUAGAGGUGAAAUUCGUAGAUAUUCGGAAGAACACCAGUGGCGAAGGCGGCUCACUGGACCGGUAUUGACGCUGAGGUGCGAAAGCGUGGGGAGCAAACAGG
rnacentral:rRNA from 1 species